AAAAGGAAUUUAAUCAGGAACAUAAAGGAAAUUAUAAAAGCAUAGUCACAAUAAAACCGGAACAUGCAAAGAGAGAGAAAGAACUACUGGAAGGAAACGAAAGGGACAGCGUAUUAAAUUCGAGCAUAGACGAAAGGAUAGAUCGUGCAAGGAGAUCAUAUUGGAUUGAAAGGACUCGGUACUAGAACUAUGGGAAAAUGUUGUAGACCAAUCGGAAGUUCUUCAGUUAGAGAGGAUGUACCUUAAAAAAUGGGACAGCACAGCAAAGAAAAUGGUUGAAGAGAAAACUGAGAAUGUGAUUAUCACAAUGAAAAGUAGUACUGAAAAAAGAAAUCUCAGUAUUCAAAGACUUAAUCUUACUCAUGGUAAGACCAUCUGCAGUAGAACAGUGCCAUAAAUGUUAUCGAUACGGACACCUAAAGGAUAUGUGUCGAAGUCAACAGAAGUGCAUUAUCUAUGGGGAAGACAGACAUGGUGAAAAGUGUGAAAGAGAGAUUAAAUGCAGAAACUGUAACAGAAAACAUAAGUCAACAGCAAGAUCGUGCCCGGUGUAUAAGAAAAAUGAAAACAUAAUCAUGCUAAUGGAAUAUCAUAACAUCUCAUAUUAGCAGAAAAAAUAUUAGGAAGGAAAAGAGAAUAAUCCAGAGGCAUACAACAGAUAUGUACCAGAAAAAUGGCCAGAGCUAUCUGGAUCAUCAAGAUAUAACUCGAAAAAAUGGUGGGACUGCAAGAAAGCAAUAAAAA